rnacentral:lncRNA from 7 species
CUCAGUUCGCAGCGAGAAACCUCCGGUCCAUGAGGUGGUGCGGGUUCGCGGCGGUUCUUCAACUACGGCGAGAAAUUUCGCCCACCACAGCCAGUCGCUCUGCCCGCCCACGGUUCACGCACCCACAGUAGGGCUGGGCGAAUCUCCAGGUACUCUAAUUGAACCCAAAUGUGGCCGACAAUGAGCGGGCAUUUUUGCGAUGUAAGAUCCCCGCUCUCCCUCUCUCUAUCCAGUGGUUGACGGCGAGCCGAUGGCGCUAUGGUUAGGGAAAUUGGGAUCGUGGCGGCGCGGACGGGUCCUAGGGAUGCUAAUAAGGGCACGAGUGUGGCCGAGGGGUCCGGGAAGUGGGCGUUAGCUGGUCAAUCUCGGAGAAAACGCGGUG